rnacentral:rRNA from 1 species
CUACGGGCGGCAGCAGUGGGGAAUCUUAGACAAUGGGGGCAACCCUGAUCUAGCCAUGCCGCGUGAGUGAUGAAGGCCCUAGGGUUGUAAAGCUCUUUCAGCUGGGAAGAUAAUGACGGUACCAGCAGAAGAAGCCCCGGCUAACUCCGUGCCAGCAGCCGCGGUAAUACGGAGGGGGCUAGCGUUGUUCGGAAUUACUGGGCGUAAAGCGCGCGUAGGCGGACCGGAAAGUCAGAGGUGAAAUCCCAGGGCUCAACCUUGGAACUGCCUUUGAAACUAUCGGUCUGGAGUUCGAGAGAGGUGAGUGGAAUUCCGAGUGUAGAGGUGAAAUUCGUAGAUAUUCGGAGGAACACCAGUGGCGAAGGCGGCUCACUGGCUCGAUACUGACGCUGAGGUGCGAAAGCGUGGGGAGCAAACAGGAUUAGAUACCCGUGUAGUC